rnacentral:rRNA from 1 species
CACGGGGGGAGCAAACGUUGUUCGGAAUUACUGGGCGUAAAGGGCGCGUAGGCGGCCUCGUAAGUGGUGUGUGAAAUGUCCUGGCUCAACCAGGGAAUUGCGCUCCAAACUGCGGGGCUUGAGGGCAGUAGAGGAAGCUGGAAUUCCAGGUGUAGCGGUGAAAUGCGUAGAUAUCUGGAGGAACACCAUUGGCGAAGGCGAGCUUCUGGGCUGUCCCUGACGCUGAUGCGCGAAAGCUGGGGGAGCAAACAGGAUUAGAAACCCCAGUAGUCC